AUGCCCAAUUUUAGUAAAGACUGGAUUUGGUAUUUCCUCCUUCCGUCUACAAAAAUGAUGCUCUGUUUCCCGUGCAAUCAAAUUAUCUCAUGGGUGACUGAUAUUGAUUUUCUAACACAACAUUUUCUUGACGACACAACUUUAGUUAGUAGGUUUUGGAAAGGUCACGAAGUAUCAGUUAUCUACCAUUUAAACCUCCGACUGUAUGAAUCUCUACAUAGCCUCCGUGUUCUCCAUCGUCGAGCAGACGUCUCCAUAUGGUAUGCGUUAAUGACUGGUGUGGCAAUGACGCCGGUCUUACAGAUGGUGCCAGAGGCGGAGGGGCAGCUGCGCGGCUGUACGAGCUACAACAGCAGACUGACAUUUGGCCGGCUGGGAGAACCCAAUUUUAGAGGAGUAGUGCCGCGAAAAAGAUGA
rnacentral:rRNA from 1 species